rnacentral:lncRNA from 1 species
CGAACUCCUGACCUCAGGUGAUCCACCCACCUCAGCCUUCCAAAGUGCUGGGAUUACAGGCAUGAGCCACCGUGCCUGCCUUUCAUUGCCUCUUGAAAAGAGCUUGUCUUGUUUAUACUGUAGAAAUUCCUUGAGCUCAUAGGCAUUGCUCAGGGUCAGAUGACAGUUCUGAGACUCACUGAGUUGCUGGAACGAGGGGAGAGGCUGCCACGGCCCGACAAAUGUCCCUGUGAGGUCUAUCAUCUCAUGAAGAACUGCUGGGAGACAGAGGCGUCCUUUCGCCCAACCUUCGAGAACCUCAUACCCAUUCUGAAGACAGUCCAUGAGAAGUACCAAGGCCAGGCCCCUUC